rnacentral:rRNA from 1 species
UACGUAGGGUCCGAGCGUUGUCCGGAUUUAUUGGGCGUAAAGAGCUCGUAGGCGGCUCAGUAAGUCAGAUGUGAAAACUCAGGGCUCAACCCGGAGACGCCAUCUGAUACUGCUGUGGCUUGAGUCUGGUAGGGGAUCACGGAAUUCCUGGUGUAGCGGUGAAAUGCGCAGAUAUCAGGAGGAACACCGGUGGCGAAGGCGGGUCUCUGGGCCGAUACUGACGCUGAGGAGCGAAAGCGUGGGGAGCGAACAGG